GGGGGCGUGGUGGAAUGGCAGACACCGAGGUCUUAAAAACCUCUACCGAAAGGUGUGCGGGUUCGAAUCCCGCCGCCCCUACCA
rnacentral:tRNA from 1 species